rnacentral:tRNA from 1 species
GCCUACGUGGUCUAGUCGUAUGAUACUCCCUUCGGGUAACCCCGCCUUUGGGCAAGAUUGGGAGUGGUCCCCGGUUCAAUUCCGGGCGUGGGCC